rnacentral:rRNA from 1 species
UUUACGUCCCCUGCCCUUUGUACACACCGCCCGUCGCUACUACCGAUUGAAUGGCUCAGUGAGGCCUUCGGACUGGCCCUGGGAGGUCGGCAACGACCACCCGGGGCCGGAAAGUUCGUCAAACUUGGUCAUUUAGAGGAAGUAAAAGUCGUAACAAGGUCUCCGUAGGUGAACCUGCGGAGGGAUCAUU